rnacentral:rRNA from 1 species
UGGGGAAUUUUGGACAAUGGGCGAAAGCCUGAUCCAGCAAUGCCGCGUGUGUGAAGAAGGCCUUCGGGUUGUAAAGCACUUUUGUCCGGAAAGAAAUCCUUGGCUCUAAUACAGUCGGGGGAUGACGGUACCGGAAGAAUAAGCACCGGCUAACUACGUGCCAGCAGCCGCGGUAAUACGUAGGGUGCAAGCGUUAAUCGGAAUUACUGGGCGUAAAGCGUGCGCAGGCGGUUUGCUAAGACCGAUGUGAAAUCCCCGGGCUCAACCUGGGAACUGCAUUGGUGACUGGCAGGCUAGAGUAUGGCAGAGGGGGGUAGAAUUCCACGUGUAGCAGUGAAAUGCGUAGAGAUGUGGAGGAAUACCGAUGGCGAAGGCAGCCCCCUGGGCCAAUACUGACGCUCAUGCACGAAAGCGUGGGGAGCGAACAGGAUUAGAUACCCUGGUAGUCCACGCCCUAAAACGAUGUCAACUAGUUGUUGGGGAUUCAUUUCCUUAGUAACGUAGCUAACGCGUGAAGUUGACCGCCUGGGGAGUACGGUCGCAAGAUUAAAACUUAAAUGAAUUGACGGGGUCAUAGCUG